rnacentral:misc_RNA from 1 species
UCUCCGUUGGUGAACCAGCGGAGGGAUCAUUACCGAGUUUACAACUCCCAAACCCCUGUGAACAUACCUAUCGUUGCCUCGGCGGUGCCCGCUCCGGCGGCCCGCCAGAGGACCCCCAAACUCUUGUUUCAUACAGUAUCUUCUGAGUAACACGAUUAAAUAAAUCAAAACUUUCAACAACGGAUCUCUUGGUUCUG